AUGGCUUUCUCCCCUGGCACAUGGCCGGCGAUCACUACUGCGAUCUUGCUGGCAUGGGCGGCGGCGGCGAGCGGCCGUGGCGUGGACGUGGGCGACAUGCUGAUGAUGGACAGGUUCCUCCGGUGGCAGGCCACGCACAACCGGUUGUACCCGAGCGCGGGGGAGAGGCUGCGGCGCUUCCAGGUAUACCGCGACAACGUGGAGUACAUCGAUGCCACCAACCGCCGCGGCGACCUCACCUACCAGCUCGGCGAGAACCAGUUCGCCGACCUCACCCGGGAGGAGUUCCUCGCCAGGUUCAUGUCUCACAACGACGAUGAUCGCACCAAGGAUGAUAAUACGGUCAUCACGACGGCCCAGGGCGCCGACGCCGACAUGUGGUCGUCUGGCGGCGUCGAUGUCUCCUUGGAUCCGGCCAGCGUGGAUUGGAGGGCCAAUGGAGCCGUGGUGCCGCCCAAGGCGCAAACCUCAUCGUGUUUCAGCAGCUGGGCGUUCGCGGCGGUGGCGAUGAUCGAGAGCCUCCACUCGAUCUAGACGGGGAAGCUGGUGCCCCUCUAGGAGCAGCAGCUGGUAGACUGCGACCAGUACAACGGCGGCUGCAACCGCGGCUCCUUCCGCAGGGCCUUCCACUGGGUGCACCAGAACGGCGGCCUCACCACGGAGGCGGAGUACCCGUACACGGCGGCGCAGGGGACCUGCGACACCGCCAAAUCCGACCACCACGUCGCCGCCAUCACCGGCCACGCCUCAGUCCCAGGCUCGAAUGAGCUCGCCAUGAAGCACGCCGUUGCCAAGCAGCUCGUCGCCGCGGCCAUCGAGCUCGGCAGCGACAUACAGUUCUACAAGAGCGGCGUCUACUCGGGCCCCUGUGGGACGCGGCUCCAGCAUGCCGUCACCGUCGUCGGCUACGACGCCGAUGAGUCCACGGGUGAGAAGUUCUGGAUCGUUAAAAACUCGUGGGGGCAGACGUGGGGCGAGCACGGCUACAUCCGUAUGCAGCGCAAAAUCCUCGGCCCGGGGCUCUGUGGCAUCAUGCUCGAUGUCGCCUACCCGACCAUGUCAAUGUGA
rnacentral:rRNA from 1 species